rnacentral:rRNA from 1 species
UACGUAGGGGGCUAGCGUUGUCCGGAUUUAUUGGGCGGAAAGAGCGUGUAGGCGGCCAUGUAGGUCCGGUGUGAAAACUCGAGGCUUAACCUCGAGAUGUCAUCGGAAACCAUUUGGCUAGAGUCCGGAAGAGGAGAGUGGAAUUCCUGGUGUAGCGGUGAAAUGCGCAGAUAUCAGGAAGAACACCAAUGGCGAAAGCAGCUCUCUGGGACGGUACUGACGCUGAGGCGCGACAGCGUGGGGAGCAAACAGG